GAAGUUUAUGCAUAUUUUGUCGUGACAGAGCAUUGGUUUUCCAAGGGGAAGCUCCAAAUACAGGGGAUUCAAUAUGGGUUAAAUCUAUAUUGUUGUUAGAGGGUAGUCUUAUUCUGUAUCAAUGAUUUGAAUUUGGGCUUUAGAUCUCUUUGUAGUUCUUUUUUCCCUUUUGUUAAGUAUGUGCUCAAUGAGAUACUGGGACGGCAAGGUCAAGGCAUUUAUCUAAAUUGCUAGAUAUUUUCAUUUGGGCAUCUUUCAUAUUAUGUAAAUUGCUAGAUAUUUUCAGUUUUUAUAUGCCAAGGUCAAGGCAUUUAUCUAUCUUUGUUGCUUCUUGAGAACAGUUUCUACCGGUAUUAGUGGUGCAAGCUACUACACUGGAACUUUCAAUAUUGUCAAUCGCUCUCCGGGUGGAAGGUAUGUUGUUGUGAUGGCAUUUGCUUUUGCUUCUAUUUGCCUGGUACUUAUACUUUUUCUAUGCCUUCUUGCAUAGUGUUUCGUAAUAAUUAUUUUAUUUUUUUCCAGCCAUUCUGGCUGCCACGUAAUAGAGCAGUUGCUAGAAGAAUCCAGAACAUGCGAUGGUGGUCUGUGAUAGACUAUUCUAUUUUUGUGAUCUUGAAACUAAAUUUCUUUGCCUUGCUCUAUUUUCCCUUUUUUUUUUUGCUAAAUCAUGUUCACAUAUUGGUUGAUAUUAAUGUAGUGUUGCAGUCUUUCAUAUGUCGAAUUGGUUGCCUUGAGCAGCCAGUGUUAACAUGCAUACACAGGAAAUGAUCCUGGAAGGAAAAUUUUGCUUGAUGGAGAGGUCACUAUUGACACAAUGGCAGAUGAUGUGGAAUUCACAGACUGUGACGGAUAGUUGGAUAGAGAAUGUUGUCAAUGGGCUGAUGGGCAAGCAGAACAUGGUUUUGACCGGACUGAGUUCUUGAAGCUCUCUAAUAGAAUAGAGUACACAAUUCGAACUUGGUAUCUUCUAUAAUUUGAGGAGUUGAUGGUAUCAUCUAUUUUUUGAUUUGUCUAACAUAAUCAUAGUUAUUUUUAAG